AAAUUGAAGAGUUUGAUCAUGGCUCAGAUUGAACGCUGGCGGCAGGCCUAACACAUGCAAGUCGAACGGUAACAGGAAGAAGCUUGCUUCUUUGCUGACGAGUGGCGGACGGGUGAGUAAUGUCUGGGAAACUGCCUGAUGGAGGGGGAUAACUGCUGGAAACGGUAGCUAAUACCGCAUAACGUCGCAAGACCAAAGAGGGGGACCUUCGGGCCUCUUGCCAUCGGAUGUGCCCAGAUGGGAUUAGCUAGUAGGUGGGGUAACGGCUCACCUAGGCGACGAUCCCUAGCUGGUCUGAGAGGAUGACCAGCCACACUGGAACUGAGACACGGUCCAGACUCCUACGGGAGGCAGCAGUGGGGAAUAUUGCACAAUGGGCGCAAGCCUGAUGCAGCCAUGCCGCGUGUAUGAAGAAGGCCUUCGGGUUGUAAAGUACUUUCAGCGGGGAGGAAGGGAGUAAAGUUAAUACCUUUGCUCAUUGACGUUACCCGCAGAAGAAGCACCGGCUAACUCCGUGCCAGCAGCCGCGGUAAUACGGAGGGUGCAAGCGUUAAUCGGAAUUACUGGGCGUAAAGCGCACGCAGGCGGUUUGUUAAGUCAGAUGUGAAAUCCCCGGGCUCAACCUGGGAACUGCAUCUGAUACUGGCAAGCUUGAGUCUCGUAGAGGGGGGUAGAAUUCCAGGUGUAGCGGUGAAAUGCGUAGAGAUCUGGAGGAAUACCGGUGGCGAAGGCGGCCCCCUGGACGAAGACUGACGCUCAGGUGCGAAAGCGUGGGGAGCAAACAGGAUUAGAUACCCUGGUAGUCCACGCCGUAAACGAUGUCGACUUGGAGGUUGUGCCCUUGAGGCGUGGCUUCCGGAGCUAACGCGUUAAGUCGACCGCCUGGGGAGUACGGCCGCAAGGUUAAAACUCAAAUGAAUUGACGGGGGCCCGCACAAGCGGUGGAGCAUGUGGUUUAAUUCGAUGCAACGCGAAGAACCUUACCUGGUCUUGACAUCCACGGAAGUUUUCAGAGAUGAGAAUGUGCCUUCGGGAACCGUGAGACAGGUGCUGCAUGGCUGUCGUCAGCUCGUGUUGUGAAAUGUUGGGUUAAGUCCCGCAACGAGCGCAACCCUUAUCCUUUGUUGCCAGCGGUCCGGCCGGGAACUCAAAGGAGACUGCCAGUGAUAAACUGGAGGAAGGUGGGGAUGACGUCAAGUCAUCAUGGCCCUUACGACCAGGGCUACACACGUGCUACAAUGGCGCAUACAAAGAGAAGCGACCUCGCGAGAGCAAGCGGACCUCAUAAAGUGCGUCGUAGUCCGGAUUGGAGUCUGCAACUCGACUCCAUGAAGUCGGAAUCGCUAGUAAUCGUGGAUCAGAAUGCCACGGUGAAUACGUUCCCGGGCCUUGUACACACCGCCCGUCACACCAUGGGAGUGGGUUGCAAAAGAAGUAGGUAGCUUAACCUUCGGGAGGGCGCUUACCACUUUGUGAUUCAUGACUGGGGUGAAGUCGUAACAAGGUAACCGUAGGGGAACCUGCGGUUGGAUCACCUCCUUA
rnacentral:rRNA from 1 species